rnacentral:rRNA from 1 species
GAUGAACGCUAGCGGCAGGCCUAACACAUGCAAGUCGAGGGGUAGAACACUUCGGUGUUUGAGACCGGCGCACGGGUGCGUAACGCGUAUGCAAUCUACCUUGUACAGGGGAAUAGCCCAGAGAAAUUUGGAUUAAUGCCCCAUAGUAUAUAACCUUCGCAUGUUGGUUAGAUUAAAGUUCCAACGGUACAAGAUGAGCAUGCGUCCAAUUAGUUAGUUGGUAAGGUAACGGCUUACCAAGACGAUGAUGGGUAGGGGUUCUGAGAGGGAGAUCCCCCACACUGGUACUGAGACACGGACCAGACUCCUACGGAAGGCAGCAGUGAGGAAUAUUGGUCAAUGGGCGCAAGCCUGAACCAGCCAUGCCGCGUGCAGGAAGACGGUCCUAUGGAUUGUAAACUGCUUUUAUACAGGAAGAAACCCUCCCACGUGUGGGAGAUUGACGGUACUGUAGGAAUAAGGAUCGGCUAACUCCGUGCCAGCAGCCGCAGUAACAC